rnacentral:rRNA from 1 species
AACGUAGGUCACAAGCGUUGUCCGGAAUUACUGGGUGUAAAGGGAGCGCAGGCGGGCGAUCAAGUUGGAAGUGAAAUCCAUGGGCUCAACCCAUGAACUGCUUUCAAAACUGGUCGUCUUGAGUAGUGCAGAGGUAGGCAGAAUUCCCGGUGUAGCGGUGGAAUGCGUAGAUAUCGGGAGGAACACCAGUGGCGAAGGCGGCCUACUGGGCACCAACUGACGCUGAGGCUCGAAAGUGUGGGUAGCAAACAGG